rnacentral:rRNA from 1 species
UACGGGGGGGGCAAGCGUUGUUCGGAAUUCCUGGGCGUAAAGGGCUCGUAGGUGGCCAACUAAGUCAGACGUGAAAUCCCUCAGCUUAACUGGGGAACUGCGUCUGAUACUGGAUGGCUUGAGUUUGGGAGAGGGAUGCGGAAUUCCAGGUGUAGCGGUGAAAUGCGUAGAUAUCUGGAGGAAUACCGGUGGCGAAGGCGGCAUCCUGGACCGGCAUUGACGCUGAGUGAGCGAAAGCCAGGGGAGCAAACGGG